rnacentral:rRNA from 1 species
UACACUCCUGCGGGAGGCAGCAGUGGGGAAUAUUGGACAAUGGGCGCAAGCCUGAUCCAGCCAUGCCGCGUGAGUGAUGAAGGCCCUAGGGUUGUAAAGCUCUUUCACCGGUGAAGAUAAUGACGGUAACCGGAGAAGAAGCCCCGGCUAACUUCGUGCCAGCAGCCGCGGUAAUACGAAGGGGGCUAGCGUUGUUCGGAUUUACUGGGCGUAAAGCGCACGUAGGCGGACUAUUAAGUCAGGGGUGAAAUCCCGGGGCUCAACCCCGGAACUGCCUUUGAUACUGGUAGUCUUGAGUUCGAGAGAGGUGAGUGGAAUUCCGAGUGUAGAGGUGAAAUUCGUAGAUAUUCGGAGGAACACCAGUGGCGAAGGCGGCUCACUGGCUCGAUACUGACGCUGAGGUGCGAAAGCGUGGGGCAAACAGGAUUAGAUACCCCUGUAGUCCCAU